CGGGCCGAGCGCACCCGGCUGUGCACCCGAGCCGCUGGGCGCCAAUUCUCAGAAGCCGCCCAAUGUACGCCCAAAGCCGGGGGCAGCUCCGCACGGGAGGGGCAGGGUGCACAGGGAGGACACGGUGUGCAGGGCUGCGCGGGCCGUGCGCCCAGCACACAGCGCCCGGAACCCUGCCCUCCGCGGUGUCCACAGCUCUCCUCCCCUGUGUCCUUUAUUUGAACCCGUGGAUUAGAGAUGAAUGAAAGCGUGUCUUAGGAGUUGUGUUUGAACGAAAAGUCGAUUGGAGAAUCAGCCCUCUCUCCCCACCCUCAGUCUAUGUGGUUUGGAUGGUGUGGGCCCCUUCUGUGAGCUCCCAGAUCAUUCUAUCUCCCUGGCCACAGUGAUUGGCUCUGAUUGUGUCAGAAGGAACCAUUUGCCAAAGAGAUUCAAUGGAACUUUUGCUGGGAAUGCUGGGAGAAUGACAGUCACUUUUUCCAGUUGGACUUGAACCUGAGAGGAUGUGAAGCUGAGUUUCUAAGUCCAUUUGUCUCCAUGAGAAGACCCUGAGAAUAAAGCCAUCACAAAGCAAAUGGAGCCUGACAACAUCAUUGGAGCACCUGAAUCCAGCCAUGCCUGAAGCCAAUAUAAGCAAGUCACCAGGUGCAGCCCACACUCAAGGGGAGGAGAUACACCAGGACGUGAUUGCUGGGAGGCUGGUACCCUUGGGGGUCAUCUUGAAAGUCUGGCUACCAGCACUGCACUACACAAACAGUGAACCCUAAGUUAAACCAUGGACUGUAGUUAAUAGUAAAAUUAUAAAAAUGUACUUUCAUCAAUUGUAACAAAUGUACUGCACCAAUGCAGGGUGUUGGCAAUAAGGCAGUAUAUGGGAAUCCUGUGUUUUAUGUAUGAUUGUUUUGUAUACUCACAACUUCUCUAAUUAAAAAAAAAGUCUGGCUACUACAGGGGUGAAGGCAAUGGGAUGUUGUCUGGCUUCAGGCUCUUUGCACAUGCGGCUCUUUUGCCUAGAAUGUUCUCUGCAUCCCUUUCUCCUCUUCAUCAUUGGGUCUUGGUUUAAAGACCAUUCUUGGAUCCAAAAUAGGCUGAGUCCCUCUCUUACCAGCCAGUGCUCUCCUUCUCUGAAGUACUCACUAUAAUCACAGUGACUAGAAAUAAAGCAGCUAACACUUACAUAGCGCAUCUCCUGGGCCAGGUGCUAAGUCUUCAUAAGUGACUUCAUUUAAUCCUCCCGACAGUCCUGU